rnacentral:rRNA from 1 species
AUUGAACGCUGGCGGCAGGACUAACACAUGCAAGUCGAGCGAGCGGCGGACGGGUGAGUAAUGUAUGGGGACUGCCCGAUAGAGGGGGAUAACUACUGGAAACGGUGGCUAAUACCGCAUACUAUCGGAUAACCCAUAUGGGAUUAGCUAGUGGGUGGGGUAAAGGCUGAAAUAGGCGUCAAACUCUAGCUGGUCUGAGAGGAUGAUAAGCGAAUGUGGAACUGAGACACGGCACUGACGCCGACGGAUGCAGCAGGAUGGAAUAUGGCAGAAUGGGCGCAAGCAUGAUGAAUCCAUUCCGCGUAUAUGAAUAUGGCCUUAGUAUUGUAAAGUACUUUAAGCGGGGAAGAGUUACCCACAGAAGAAGCACCGGCUAACUCCGUGCCAGCAGCCGCGGGAAUAC